AUUGAACGCUGGCGGCAGGCCUAACACAUGCAAGUCGAACGAGUGGCGGACGGGUGAGUAAUGUCUGGGAAACUGCCUGAUGGAGGGGGAUAACUCCUGGAAACGGUAGCUAAUACCGCAUACCAUCGGAUGUGCCCAGAUGGGAUUAGCUAGUAGGUGGGGUAAAGGCUCACCUAGGCGACGCUCCCUAGCUGGUCUGAGAGGAUGACCAGCCACAAUGGAAAUGAGACACGGUCCAGACUCCGACGGGAGGCAGCAGUGGGGAAUAUUGCAAAAUGGGCGCAAGCCUGAUGCAGCCAUGCCGCGGGUAUGAAGAAGGCCUUCGGGUUGUAAAGGACUUGCAGCGGGGAGGCGUUACCCGCAGAAGAAGCACCGGCGAACUCCGUGCCAGCAGCCGCGGUAAUUC
rnacentral:rRNA from 1 species